rnacentral:rRNA from 1 species
UGGGGAAUAUUGGACAAUGGGCGAAAGCCUGAUCCAGCAAUGCCGCGUGAGUGAUGAAGGCCUUAGGGUUGUAAAGCUCUUUUACCCGAGAUGAUAAUGACAGUACCGGGAGAAUAAGCCCCGGCUAACUCCGUGCCAGCAGCCGCGGUAAUACGGAGGGGGCUAGCGUUGUUCGGAAUUACUGGGCGUAAAGCGCACGUAGGCGGCUUUGUAAGUUAGAGGUGAAAGCCCAGGGCUCAACCCUGGAAUUGCCUUUAAGACUGCAUCGCUUGAACAUCGGAGAGGUAAGUGGAAUUCCGAGUGUAGAGGUGAAAUUCGUAGAUAUUCGGAAGAACACCAGUGGCGAAGGCGACUUACUGGACCGACACUGACGCUGAGGCGCGAAAGCUAGGGGAGCAAA